rnacentral:tRNA from 1 species
GGGGGCGUGGCCUAGUGGUUUAGGGCGCUGGCCUGUCACGCCGGAGGUCGCGGGUUCAAAUCCCGUCGCUCCCGCCA